AAGGGCUUCUGACGGAUGCCUUGGCAUUGAGAGGCGAUGAAAGGACGUGGCACGCUGCGAUAAGGUCCGGGGAGGCGCGAGCACCCUUUGAUCCGGACAUUUCUGAAUGGGGAAACCCACCUUUACAAUCUGCGAAUGUGAUCUUCAGCUUCG
rnacentral:rRNA from 1 species